GACGAACGCUGGCGGCGUGCUUAACACAUGCAAGUCGAACGAAGAGCGAUGGAAGCUUGCUUCUAUCAAUCUUAGUGGCGAACGGGUGAGUAACGCGUAAUCAACCUGCCCUUCAGAGGGGGACAACAGUUGGAAACGACUGCUAAUACCGCAUACGAUCUAAUCUCGGCAUCGAGGAAAGAUGAAAGGUGGCCUCUAUGUAUAAGCUAUCACUGAAGGAGGGGAUUGCGUCUGAUUAGCUAGUUGGAGGGGUAACGGCCCACCAAGGCGAUGAUCAGUAGCCGGUCUGAGAGGAUGAACGGCCACAUUGGGACUGAGACACGGCCCAGACUCCUACGGGAGGCAGCAGUGGGGAAUCUUCCGCAAUGGACGAAAGUCUGACGGAGCAACGCCGCGUGAGUGAUGACGGCCUUCGGGUUGUAAAGCUCUGUUAAUCGGGACGAAAGGCCUUCUUGCGAAUAGUGAGAAGGAUUGACGGUACCGGAAUAGAAAGCCA
rnacentral:rRNA from 1 species